rnacentral:rRNA from 1 species
UACGUAGGUGGCAAGCGUUGUCCGGAUUUAUUGGGUUUAAAGGGUGCGUAGGCGGUCUUAUAAGUCAGUGGUGAAAUACGGCAGCUCAACUGUCGAGGUGCCAUUGAUACUGUAGGACUUGAGUACAGACGAGGUAGGCGGAAUUGACGGUGUAGCGGUGAAAUGCUUAGAUAUCGUCAAGAACACCGAUAGCGAAGGCAGCUUACUAGGCUGUAACUGACGCUGAGGAGCGAAAGCAUGGGGAGCGAACAGG